rnacentral:rRNA from 1 species
CCUACGGGUGGCAGCAGUGAGGAAUAUUGGUCAAUGGGCGGAAGCCUGAACCAGCCAAGUAGCGUGCAGGAUGACGGCCCUACGGGUUGUAAACUGCUUUUAUACGGGAAUAACGCGCCUUACGUGUAGGGGUUUGCAUGUACCGUAUGAAUAAGGACCGGCUCAUUCCGUGCCAGCAGCCGAGGUAAUACGGAAGGUCCGGGCGUUAUCCGGAUUUAUUGGGUUUAAGGGGAGCGUAGGCCGCAUGUCACGCGAGCUGUGAAAUGUCCGGGCUCAACCCGGGCAUUGCAGCGCGAACUGGCGUGCGUGAGUCCGCGGAAAGCAGGCGGAAUU